CAGCAGCCGCGGGAAUACAGAGGGUGCGAGCGUUAAUCGGAUUUACUGGGCGUAAAGCGUGCGUAGGCGGCUUCUUAAGUCGGAUGUGAAAUCCAUGAGCUUAACUUAGGAAUUGCAUUCGAUACUGGGAAGCUAGAGUAUGGGAGAGGAUGGUAGAAUUCCAGGUGUAGCGGUGAAAUGCGUAGAGAUCUGGAGGAAUACCGAUGGCGAAGGCAGCCAUCUGGCCUAAUACUGACGCUGAGGUACGAAAGCAUGGGGAGCAAACAGGAUUAGAUACCCCUGUAGUCCCUGUCUCUUAUAC
rnacentral:rRNA from 1 species